rnacentral:rRNA from 1 species
ACAGCCAUACCAUGCUGAAUAUACCGGUUCUCGUUAGAUCACCGAAGUCAAGCAUCAUUGGGCGCGGUCAGUACUUGGGUGGGUGACCACCUGGCAACACCGCGUGCCGUU